rnacentral:rRNA from 1 species
UGAGGAAUAUUGGUCAAUGGGCGAGAGCCUGAACCAGCCAAGUAGCGUGCAUGAUGACGGCCCUAUGGGUUGUAAACUGCUUUUAUAUGGGAAUAAAGUGAGGGACGUGUCCCUUAUUGCAUGUACCAUACGAAUAAGGACCGGCUAAUUCCGUGCCAGCAGCCGCGGUAAUACGGAAGGUUCGGGCGUUAUCCGGAUUUAUUGGGUUUAAAGGGAGCGUAGGCCGUUUGGUAAGCGUGUUGUGAAAUGUAGGAGCUCAACUUCUAGAUUGCAGCGCGAACUGUCAGACUUGAGUGCGCACAACGUAGGCGGAAUUCAUGGUGUAGCGGUGAAAUGCUUAGAUAUCAUGACGAACUCCGAUUGCGCAGGCAGCUUACUGUAGCAUAACUGACGCUGAUGCUCGAAAGUGCGGGUAUCAAACAGG